UUUUAGAGAGAAGUUUGCAGCAAAAACCUGCCGUUUAAAAUGGGAAAAUUGAACAAUGCAUGACAGUGCUUCUCCUGACAGGCUCGAACUCCCACAUGGGGCAGAUGCUGUUGUUAUUGCUGCUCGGAGGCAGCUCUGAGAUGAACAAUUUCCAUGUGCAGAUACUCCUGUGGCAUUCCAUGAUUCCUGUAUUAACAGGCACUAAACUUCCCUUGUAAAUUGGCUGCUGGGGGGGUACUCACAUUUUAAAAAAGCCGUUCUCCUCCCAAGACAUGCAGCCUCAGUUUGAUCUGAUUAUUAAAACACAGAGUAAUGGGCUGUGGGAUCUCACAGCUUAAAAAAAAAAAAGAAAAAAGAAGUAAAAUCCCAGAGCUCAUCAUGAGUUUCCCAGGCUAAAUGGUGUGGAAUUGUUAUAACCCACUUCAUGUUCAGCUUUGAUCACAAGUGUAGGACAGCAGUGCAAGGCUGGGGUGCACCUGGCACUGUCAUGAUGCUGAAAGCUGGAAUAGGUCAGAAAAUUCUCUGUAAGACACCUCCUGUAAACAGAAACAACACUGAGACACAAUACUCAUUCUUAGUCAUUGGAAUCGGGGAGAAAAGAUUAAAUCACACUCAGACAUCUGUCUCCCUGCCUCCAAAAACUUCAUUUUCAUGCUAAGUCUGGUUUUAAAAUGUCACCUUGAAAAUGUGUGACAUUUUAAUGGGCUGAUUGCCUGAGAUUCUCAAAUCCUUUAAUUAGCAUAUGAAUCACAAUGUUAAAUAUUGUGGGAAAAGCAUAAGAAACUAGAAUUAUGAGAGAAUGCCUUGCAUUUCCCUUGGUUAAACAUAUCUUGGGAGGACUGUCUCAUAGAAAUCUAAUAUCACAAAGACAAAUGAGAUUAAAAAAAAAAUACUGUGGUGUUCCCAUUUAUACCAUCAGCUGGUUGUGAUUGCAUGUUUUGGGUUUUGUUUUAUUUUACAGCUGCCUGUGAAAGCAGCCUGGGUGUUGCCUGUUCUUUCAAUAACCCUCACAGUCACUACUGCAGCCCUGAGGAUGGGUUGCAUUCCCAUUUUCCACGUUUCUGAUACAGCUCCAAAAUAUUCAGCAGGAUUUCAUCAACGUCUUUUGUUCAUCUCUCUCCAGUAAACAGGGAUCAGAGCCCUUUCCAGGUUGCAGCAGGAAGCCCAAAACCACACACAAAAAGCUGUUUAAAGGAGGAGGCACCAGCAGACAGAGCCAGCUGUGAGUCUGUCCUGGGUCUCUGGAAACUUCCAGCUUUGUGCUCCCUUCUUUGCUCAUGCUGAAGGAUCCCAUGGUGUCCAGCUGUACCAGGCCACAAAGUGACCCUGCAAACUCACUAAGGUUCCUUCUGAUUUCUUCUGGUGUAGAAAAAAAAAAAAAAAGAAAAGAAAA